AAUGAACGCUGGCGGCAUGCCUAACACAUGCAAGUCGAACGAAGGCUUCGGCCUUAGUGGCGCACGGGUGCGUAACGCGUGGGAAUCUGCCCUUGGGUUCGGAAUAACAGUUAGAAAUGACUGCUAAUACCGGAUGAUGUCGUAAGACCAAAGAUUUAUCGCCCCAGGAUGAGCCCGCGUAGGAUUAGCUGGUUGGUGGGGUAAAGGCCUACCAAGGCGACGAUCCUUAGCUGGUCUGAGAGGAUGAUCAGCCACACUGGGACUGAGACACGGCCCAGACUCGUACGGGAGGGAGGAGUGGGGAAUAUUGGACAAGGGGCGAAAGCCUGAUACAGCAAUGCCGCGUGAGUGAUGAAGGCCGUAGGGAUGUAAAGCUCUUUUACCCGGGAUGAUAAUGACAGUACCGGGAGAAUAAGCACCGGCUAACUUCGUG
rnacentral:rRNA from 1 species